GACGAACGCUGGCGGCGUGCUUAACACAUGCAAGUCGAACGGAAAGGCCCUGCUUUUGUGGGGUGCUCGAGUGGCGAACGGGUGAGUAACACGUGAGUAACCUGCCCUUGACUUUGGGAUAACUUCAGGAAACUGGGGCUAAUACCGGAUAGGAGCUCCUGCUGCGUGUUGGGCGUUGGAAAGUUUCGGCGGUUGGGGCUGGACUCGCGGCUUAUCAGCUUGUUGGUGGGGUAGUGGCUUACCAAGGCUUUGACGGGUAGCCGGCCUGAGAGGGUGACCGGCCACAUUGGGACUGAGAUACGGCGCAGACGCCUACGGGAGGCAGCAGUGGGGAAUAUUGCACAAUGGGCGGAAGCCUGAUGCAGCAACGCCGCGUGCGGGAUGACGGCCUUCGGGUUGUAAACCGCUUUCGCCUGUGACGAAGCGUGAGUGACGGUAAUGGGUAAAGAAGCACCGGCUAACUACGUG
rnacentral:rRNA from 1 species